UACGGAGGGUGCGAACGUUAAUCGGAAUCACUGGGCGUAAAGCGCGCGUAGGCGGUUCGUUAAGUGGGAUGUGAAAUCCCCGGGCUCAACCCGGGAACUGCGUCCGAGACUGGAAGGCUCGAAUCCGGGAGAGGGAUGUGGAAUUCCAGGUGUAGCGGUGAAAUGCGUAGAUAUCUGGAGGAACAUCGGUGGCGAAGGCGGCAUCCUGGACCGGUAUUGACGCUGAGGCGCGAAAGCCAGGGGAGCAAACGGG
rnacentral:rRNA from 1 species